rnacentral:lncRNA from 1 species
UUUACGCCUGGAUCUAGCCAGACUUACCUGAAGUGGUAAUAGUGAAUCCAAUGGGUCUGGGUAUCAAGCUAAAUUAUUAGCUAAAAUAAGGCGGAAACGGCAGAUUCUUUUUAUUUUUGGCUUCUGUUAAGGCUCUCGUCUCUCUCUACCAAAAGAGCUCUCGUCUCUCAGUCGGUGAGAGUUAGCAACCGAGCAAAAGAUCUGCGCUAAGAGCUCUCCGUCAUUGCGUUAUUCUUCACAUCCUUUCUUCCACAAUCGCAACCGGUUCGUUUAUCUCCGGUUUUCCCUUAGCCUACCACCUCGUAUGGAUCUGGAUCCCCAGCCGGAGCCUACCAUAACCCGACGGUCAGUGUUCCUAAACAUCUCGAUCUUCUCAUAUUUUCUUCAUAUGAUUUCCUUUUUUGGGGGGAAAUCUAGCACGCGUUCGAUUUUUUCCAGGGUUCUGUUGUUGUUUUUUUUCUUCCUUUUUUUUCCAUUGGUUUUUUGAGUGUUUUGAUCUAAAUAGGCAUGACGCUCUUUAUAUUUGAUUUUAUUCCUCAAAGAAUGGUUUCUC